UACGUAGGGGGCAAGCGUUGUCCGGAAUCAUUGGGCGUAAAGCGCGCGUAGGCGGCCCUGUAAGUCCGCUGUAAAAGUCAAAGGCUCAACCUUUGAAAGCCGGUGGAUACUGCAGGGCUAGAGUCCGGAAGAGGCGAGUGGAAUUCCUGGUGUAGCGGUGGAAUGCGCAGAUAUCAGGAGGAACACCGGUGGCGAAGGCGGAUCUCUGGGCCUUACCUGACGCUCAGGUGCGAAAGCUAGGGGAGCGAACAGG
rnacentral:rRNA from 1 species